GGCAAAACCCUGCCCUUUCUCUCUCUACAUCAUCUCGUCCUAAAAUGGAAAAGAUUCAGUGGUCUUCAGCUUUUACAGAUCGUGCAUGAUCGAUUGAGGAAAGAGCAUUUAAUGCUCCGUCAUUCCUGCAUAGCAUUCAGCCACGAAGAGGAGGAGCAAAGAUUUCAACUCCAAAUCUCGACAAGGGUUGUGGAUAAGAAAGGUAGACAAGGAAAUGGCACAGAUCCUUAGGCUGCCCUUCAGCGUUGGUCCAAGAGCACUCCAUUGUUCCGGAGUUGCAGCUCGGAGUGGUUUGAUUCUUUUGUGUAUAUAUAGGCAUGGUGGGGUCCUGUCCCGUCCUUACUACGUUAUGUAUUCUAUGUAGAGUCUCGUAGACAGAU